rnacentral:lncRNA from 1 species
UAAAAGUUCACGCUAGGCAGCUAUACCUGGUGUGCCCACUCCUCUUCCAGACAGAGACAGACGGAAGGUACUUCUUGGCGGAUUUCAGGGUGCAAAUCACUGGGGCCUCCCCAUUCUCAGGACUCUGCAGCCCCACACGUGGACUGGCUCUGUCGAGGUGAUGCUGCCUGGCAGGUGUGGUGUGCAGUAUGGAUCUGGCCAAGAGGGGCUCUGGGCUCACACUGAGAGGGUAAUGAGUAGGCAGUAACCCCACCGGAAAGAUGGCGGUGUGUCCCUCGGCUUCCACGUGCCGCGAGUGGUCUGUUACUACAGGAACAGCAUUUGACGCGGGUCGCUCCGUCCAGAUGAAGUCCGAAUUCUUCCUGGUGGUGCUUAAGCCACACAGUCAGAACUGACCCACCUUGGCCCGCUCUGACAGUGAGGUCCCCAGUCACCCCAUCAAAUAGGAAAUUUUAAAAUACACUUCUUCAAAUUCUGAUCAUCUCCACUGAUGGGAAACUCUUUUCUUCAAGCAAAUAGUGAAAAAAUCCUGGGUCGUGGAGCUCACUCCGAGUCAGAGGAGACAACGAUAAACAAAAUAAAUAUGUAAAGUAUUGGUGUAUCGUACAGUGACAAGGGAUGCAGAGAACAAUGAAGUACAAAUGCAAGACCCUGAGCAAUGGCGGUGCAGGCCGGUUUGGAAGAGCAUGGUCAGAGAAGACCUCACCAAGAAGGUGGCACUUGACAAGGACCUGAAAAAGAAGAGGGAUGAGCGUGGAGGCCACGUGGGAGACAAGCAUCCCAGGCACAAACAAGUAGCCUGCAUGCCCAGCCAGGCGGAGACAUCAGAUUGGCCAUCACACGUCCUUCAGAAGACCUGCAGGGGCAGUAGGUGAGGUCAGGACAUUAGAGAGAUUGGAUGACCCCCAGUUUCCAGGCCUCAUGAAGACUUUCUAAGUGAUGUAGGAAGUCCAUGCAUGUUGCCCACAAAGGAGAGACAAACCACUCUGUGCUUAGUGUGGUGAAGGGAGACGUCCUCCCUCAUGUUGGAGAUGGACAAGAGGCCAAGUGCAGAGAACGGGAGGCUGGGAGGGACCAGGAGAGCUCUUUUCACGACGCUCCCAGUGGCCCAUCCGGAGCACACCAGUUGGGAACUUCUGCUGUUCAGCGUCCGGGGACACAAAGUUUACAGGACUACAGGGGAUGAAGGGUUAGAAAGGAUGAUGAUCCAAGGACCCAGUGAGACAAACCGAGAGUGUGAGGUGGUUUACCA